rnacentral:lncRNA from 1 species
AGGUUUCAGUAAACCUCAACAGCAUCACCGUGCAGCUGAGUGGAUGUGCCUUCUGCUCUCUCUGCUGACUGUGGCUUUUUUCCAAGGUACAGACUUCAAUUAGCAGAAGAUGUUCUGGAUCCCGUGUACCGUGGGGCUGAGCUUCCCAGUGACCCCUGCACAGCAGCCAACACUGCAUGGCCGGAGUAAUUAAACAGAUUGUGGCUUCUUUCUCAAGUUCUUAUUAUAACUUCCCCUCAUCCGUAUUUAUCACCUUGCACAAAACUCAAGUCCAAGUGGAUCAAAAAUCUCAAUGUAAAAUCAGAUACACUGAAUCUAAUAGAAAAGAAACUAGGGAGUAGCCUUGAAAUCCUUGGCACAGGAGACAAUUUCCUGAACAGAAACACUAAUGGCUCGGGCACUAAAAGCAACUAUUAAUCAACGCCGCUCAUGAAACUGAAAAGCUUCUGUAAGUCAAAGGACACCAUCAAUAGGACAAGACAACAGCCUGCAAGCUGGGGAAUAAACUUCACCAACUGAACAUCAGACAGAGGGCUAAUAUCCAAAAUAUAUAAAGAAUUCAAGAAGU